rnacentral:lncRNA from 1 species
GCCAGGCAGAGCACCGAACAAGCUGCGCUCACCUUGCUUGACACACUUGAGCCGGAGGGGGUCCUUGCAGUGUUUGAUCACGGCCAGAACGUCCCUGAUGGUGAGCCCCGCCACGGGGGUCUCGUUCACCUCCAGCAGCAGCUCCUCGGACACCAACUUGCUGCCGCUUUCAUAGGCCACCUUGCCCGGCUUCACCUCCCCCAGGUUAGAGAGGUUGAGUUAAUGUUUGAGGCAUCAUUCCUUACAUGCUCCAGAGCACAGAUUCUUAACUUGCAAUCUGAGGACUUUUCAACGACAAGGUAUGGCCUACUACCUUCCUUUCUGUAUGAUCUGGGCAAACCGACCGGUGGUGGCAAGAGUAGUGUCAAUGAAGUGAUCCACACAGCAAGAGAGGCAGUUUCAGUGCGGGAGUCUAGCUGAUUUCCUGGCUUCUCCAUGCACUUAUCUCAACAUAGUUCCACGAAGUGAUGCACCUGCGCAGUGAACCCUGCCUUCUGCUGCUCGACAGCCACCAGGCUUUGUAACUCAGUUUCACCAAGCUCUGCCAUUGUCAGCGUCAAGAGCUUCGCUGUGGUACGCAUGCGUGGUCCUGAAAGCAACUUUUGCACUUUAUCAUCAACUCUAAGAUACUCAGGGGCUUCUAUCAAUGAUGAGACACAUCUGCAGAAACCCAUACUCCUUCCAUAGGAUCACACGAUCCUUGUCCAAGGGCGAACACACAGAACAUUGUUCAAACCAUACCAAUCCUGACCGGAGAGAACAGAGACAAACUGACUCACAGGAGAGAGG